UACGAAGGGGGCUAGCGUUGCUCGGAAUCACUGAGCGUAAAGGGUGCGUAGGCGGGUCUUUUAAGUCAGGGGUGAAAUCCUGGAGCUCAACUCCAGAACUGCCUUUGAUACUGAAGAUCUUGAGUUCGGGAGAGGUGAGUGGAACUGCGAGUGUAGAGGUGAAAUUCGUAGAUAUUCGCAAGAACACCAGUGGCGAAGGCGGCUCACUGGCCCGAUACUGACGCUGAGGCACGAAAGCGUGAGGAGCAAACAGG
rnacentral:rRNA from 1 species